CCUCUUCCCCUCCCCUCUUUUAGAGCCUUCUCUUUCUCUUCGUACUCAACCAGUCGCCAAGAAUUUGAAGUUCAGGGUUUAAUGGAUACUGAACCUACCUCCACUCCAACUCGUUCAGUGAAGUCCUCUGUUGGACCUUCAAACGUAUCAUCUUAUUUGGAUCCACUAUAUUGGGACAAAAGAUUCAGCUCUGAAGAACACUAUGAAUGGUUGAAAGACUACUCUCACUUCCGUCAUCUCAUUCAACUUUACAUCAAACCCAUUUCUCCUACUUCUGUUUUGGAGCUUGGUUGUGGAAAUUCUCAGUUAGGUGAAGAACUUCACAGAGAUGGGAUUACUGGUUUAACUUGCAUCGAUCUGUCUGCAGUUGCUGUGGAUAAUAUGCAGAAGAGGUUAUUAUCUAAGGGAAUUAAAGAUAUUCAAGUGCUGGUGGCUGACAUGUUAGACCUUCCCUUUGAAAAGGAAUCCUUUGAUGUUGUUAUAGAGAAAGGAACUAUGGAUGUAGUAUUUGUAGACAGUGGCGACCCUUGGAAUCCACGACCUGAAACAGUAAAGAAGGCAAUGGCUAUGCUUCAAGGAGUUCACCGGGUCCUGAAACCUGAUGGAGUUUUCGUCUCAAUUUCUUUCGGACAGCCACACUUUAGGCGUCCCUUAUUCGAAGCUCCAGAGUUUAGCUGGUCUAUUGAGUGGAAAACAUUUGGGGAUGGAUUCCAUUAUUUUUUCUACAUCUUAAAGAAGGAGUUAGGGAGAAGAUUCUUACCUUAAUAGAGAUCGCUUUCAAGUCUAGAAAUGGAUCCAGGAAAUGAUGGGAUUUUAUGAUAUGGUCCAGAAGGCUAUAUGCAGUGAUCGUUUAUCAUUUUGAGGUCCCAUUUAUGCCUUCUGUUCUCACAUUCCCAAGCUCCACAGUCACACCUCUCAGAUUUGCUGAUUGUGCAUCUAUCUGGCAGAACAGAAUCAAAAUUGUGGAGACAGCUCAUCCUAACUAUUUCAGGAAAGGUGCUUGAUUGCCAUGAAGACGUUCCUGAGUUAUACCUUGUCGGUAUCUGUAUCAACGAGAUGAUUCCUGUUUAUAGAGCCUUCGCUGGAAAACCUUUGUCUUCAAACUUUCUCGUAGUUGCACGAAGCUGCUAAAAGAUCGAUCAGCUACCUCUGCACCUGCCCUUCUUGAAAAGUCAAAAGCUGGCCAUAGGGUAUAAGCUUUUCUAUAAUAUAUGUUAUGGCUCUCAUGAAGCUGCUGCUUUGCAACCAGUCUGCCAAGAUGCAAGCGACAUGUCAACUGUGUGGACAGAUGGAACUAAAUUUUUCGCAUGGAAUUCAAAUACUGCCAUGUAUCUCAGUUUCAGUACAUAAUCUCAAUGAUUUCAUUAUGUCCCAUUUGAGAAAGUGCAGGGUAUCAAAUGAAUUUGGAGCUGGCAAUCCUCUAAGCAGCAAACUUUUCAAUACUUGGUGACGUCUGUGAUCAUAGGCAUGGUUGCAAUGGGUACUGCAUUUACAACCACUGACUAUUUCCCUCGUCUUUGUUAAAGCGGUGAAGGAAGUCAGAAAGCUUGCCACUACACUCCAUCAGAUUUAUUAUAUUAUCAAAUACUACUAAUUUUUCUAGCGAGCAUUAUUUUUAUCCCUAAUUGUUCUUCAACUGGAUUACUGAGAACUAAAACAGGCAACUCAACUGGAAAACACCAUAAGCAGUUCAACAAUUCCAUUG